GGAGAGGUACCGAAGUGGUCAUAACGGGGCGGUCUUGAAAACCGUUGGAGUGCAAACUCACGCAGGUUCGAAUCCUGUCCUCUCCGCCA
rnacentral:tRNA from 1 species